GCUAUCGCGGCCACCGUUGAGCACUGAAAUUUCGGUGUCGAAACUCUUUCUACUGUAAUGGGAGAGAUAUUCGGAUUCUAUAGAGUUGAUUCUAUGUUUUCUUCCGCUCAAUUGAAUCGUGUUUCAAAAUCAUGGGAAACAGACAGCGCCUGUGAUCCGGUUCAGAGAACCGGGUUAAAUUAAGUGUUACUCCUUGUCUCCUUCGAUCUUCAAUCAGCCCCCACCGUUGAUUUUGGUUAAAAUCUGACAGCAAAACUUUGGGCCAAAUCCAAUGCUCCAUAUGCCAUACACGUCAUACGCUACCACCAAACAUAUCGACCCAAUCCCUGGAGCCCUUAUCCUGCGAACACUCUAUUAUUGACACUCACACACUUCUCUCUCAUCUAUCACCGCCAUGGCCGCCGAGAUACAGCCACCGGAAGGCCCCAUCGCUACUAUCUCCACAGAUGCUGCCACAACUACUACAGCGGUUAUAGCACCUGCCGAACCGGAGAACGUCGCCCCACCACCUCAGGCACCAAAACGGCAACGCCGACCCAGCGUACGCCUUGGUGAGAUCGGAGACCAAUCGACCACUUUCUCCUAUGACCCGCACGUUCGCCGUACCAAGCAUCCCUGGCGUCUCCCUAAAGACUCCUCUAAAUCCGUUAAGGCCCGGUCUUUAACCAACCUUGUUAACGGCAAUGAUAGCUAUGAAAUCCAAGAACCAGAGGGAACCAAUCAAAACGGUGAAGUAAAUCUUGAUUUUGGGCAUCGUAGAAGAGUGAAAAGAGCGACGACAAAGAGAGUGAGAUCCAAUUGGAUAUCCAAGGUCGAAGAAGGAGGAGCUGAGAGAGAUAGUAAAGAAGAUGUAGACGAAGGGUUUAGGGAUUUUGAUCAGGACUCUGAUAGUCUGUUAAAGGAGCAGAGCCCGGUCCAUUCUAUGGAUAACGUAGCGCUUGAUAUGUGGCAUGGGCAUAGGAGAACUGGCACGGGACGGCCUAGGGUUUCAGAGACUAGGGAAAACGACGCAAUUGAAAUGGAUAAUUUUCCGGAAUCGGAUUCCAGGGACCGAAAUUGCAGUACGGGCGAAGGAGUGAGAACGUGGCUAAUUGAAUUGGGCUUGAGCCGAUAUGCACCGGUUUUUGAGGUACACGAGGUGGAUGAUGAGGUUUUGCCGUUGCUAACCUUGGAGGAUCUAAAGGAUAUGGGAAUAAAUGCUGUGGGUUCCAGGCGGAAACUGUACGCUGCAAUUCUGAAGCUUCGCAAGGGGUUUCCGUGAGUUUUUUUGGACAUAUUUUUCAGUUUUAUCAUAAAUUGUGCAACUCUUUUACUCAUAAAAGGAAGGGGAUAAUGAAUGAACUGUGAUCUUUCUAACUGCUAAUGCGAAUAUAGUUUUGUAAUUUUUGUUGUGAGGUGAUAACUUUUGGUACUUUAUCCUGCCUUUGGAUUUACAUGAUUAAAUAUUGUAAUUUUGCCUGAUUAAUUAAGGUCCAUGUUAAUGGCAAACUAAUCGACAAAGAUAGAAAGUUGAUAUUUUUGGAUGGUUACGUUAUGCAUGUUGAUGUCAGCAAUGCUCAGUUUCAUCUGUUAUUCUUUUAUCGAGAUGAUUUUUUUUCCUAUUUGCUAUACCCUUGAACUGCAACGAAAUCUAUUUCUCAUAGGAAAUCUGUUUAAUUCAAUGCUGUCCUAUUAUAUUUCCUUGUUGAGGAGAGUGUAGGUGAUGGAUUGCUCUUUUUUUUUUUAAUUAUUAUUAUUAUUGUUUUCUUUCUUCUGUUUGAGUAACUGUUUGCAUUUUACUGAUGUUGUGUAAUUGUGCGUUAUGUUCGUUGAUUUUGCCUCUUGCUCACAAGGGUUAAAUAUCUCUAUGCUUCAUUAUUAUCCUUUCUUAGUUCUUUCACCAGUAUUAGUAUGACUAGUGUUCAUCACAUGCCAACUACUUGCAAGCUGUUAGGAAUGUAAGUGAGCUAUGUGAGCCAAGGGAUGCCAGUGAAGGGAAUAGUUAUAGAUUAGUUAGAUGAAACUGAAUUGGUUGGUUGUAACUGAAUAAUGAGUAUAAAAUAUUAUAUAAAGUUAUAUUGGACAUUUUUUUAUGAAUAAUGCAAAUUAUUUUUCUCUCCUCAACAUCUGCUCUUCUCUCCCAGUCUCCCCUUCUUCUUCUUCUUGAGACUUCUUUCCUUCUCUGUUCUUUUUCCCUUUUUCUCUUCUAUGGUUCUUUCCCUCUUCUAUUCUGCAUUCUUUAACCUUCUUCUCAGUUUGCAGAUUAGGACACAAGCGUGGAGCAAAGAAUCUAAGUUAGGUCAUAUAUUAGUAGUUCAGCUCCAUUACUUGUACUGGUGGGCCACUGCUCCUUACAGAUCGUUGUGCCUUUCAACCAUAAGCCUUUGAUCUCUCAAAACAAAUGCACACGUAAGGAAACCCCUUUCCCAUUUGAAAAGCGUGAACCUCCACAGCAGGAUUCUGUUACUUGAGGAGUUCUUCAGAUGUGCCAUUGUCAUAGACAUUAUCCUCCAUCCUCAAGGGUGACUUGUCAUCUCCACUUAGAGUGACUUUUUUUAAAAUAAAAAAUAAAAAAAUUCAAUUUCCAGUUUAUGCCUGAUAGGAAAUGAUCCUAUUUGGGCUAGGUUCUACGUCAGUAUAAAUAAAUAAUCUAUUGUUUCAUCUACUUAGUUAUUCAUUAAAAUGAUCUAUGUAAGUAGUGUUUUGCAUUUAAAUGCAAAUCUUCAUCGAGGAAUUUUAAUUUCAUAGCUAUUAUAACUUCCCCUUUAAUUCAGUGUUGUGUUUUCCAUUGUCCCUUAUUUUGAUCUGUUAGGAAAUAUGAUUAUAUGAAGUUAAUGAUUAAUUGAGUCUAUUAUUUAUCCAGACUUAAGCUUUACAGAAGUAAAUAUCACAUUCGUAACUGAGAAAACUAGUGGGCAUCUAUGUGUGCUGUAGGAAAUUGCAAGUUCAUGGUAUCGCUUAUGGUUCAGGAAGGGAGUAGAAAGUGCUUUUGCAUAUCUUGGGCCAUACAUUGCUACAAGGGAAGUAAAUCCAUCAUUUUUUUUUGUCAGGGUUGUCCUAUCCUGGAAUAAGUCAUUGAAACUGUACUUGAGAAAUUAUCAAUUUGUUAGAAAUAGACUUUAAUUCUAUCUUCUUUGAGUAUUAUUGUUUUUGCAAGUCCAAACUAUUGCUAAGCUGUUAUGCACUAUUUGGCUUUUGAUUUAUUCUGAUUACAUUGUGAUAUCCAUUCUUUCUCUCUCUCUCUCUCUCUCCUAGGUUUAUCUUGUUUUUCUCAAUAUUGUUGUGUUUUUCUCUUAGAAAUUGUCUUGAUGAAUUUGAGAAUUCUAUAACAUACAUAAAUAAUUAGGUUGGUUAUUGUAAUGAAUGAAUUUUCCUUAGGCAUCCCACUUUUGAGGGCUUGGCUAUUAUCUUCUUUUUCUUUUGGAAGAGCAUGUGUUGAUGCCCUCAUUUCAUUAAAUGGUUAUAUUUGGUAGUUAAACAUAGGAAGCAACUGAAUUGAAAAAUAAUGUUGGGCUACUGGGCUUCAUUGGUAAUGAGCCGCUAUGGAAUGAUCGACUUUUCAUGAGUAGACUGACAUUUUUACAAACGCUGAUAUAGAUUAUGGCUUAGGUGUUAUGGAACAUUUUCAAGCUUGCUUAGAACGUGUUCUUGGUGGAAAACUAUUUGGUACAUCCUAAAUGUGAGUUAAAUUAGGAAGUUCCAAAAUUUGGUUCAAGUCAUUACUUCCAAAAUUAGGUUCAAGCUUACUUGAUGCUCUAUUUUUGUUCUAGCUCUGGACUUGAACUUGCAUCUUCAAUUUUUGGAUAGAGAUUUUCAAGCUUUAUAUGCUGAUUUGCCUAGAUAUCUCUCUUAUCAUUUACAGUGGCUUAUCUUAUUUACAUACAUGUCCAAAGCUCCAUAUGGAAUGAGAUGACUGCAUUUAUUUCCUUGGGGAUGUACAUAAUCUAUUUCCUGAUGACUAUCAAUGGACCCACAUGCUUCCCAUUGUACAUGGGCAUGCACAGAGUUUUGUUUUCUUCAGGUUUUCAGAACUAAUCAGUGUGGCCUGCUGACAACUGGAUCUGCGCAAGAGGAAUUGCUGUCAUGUUAAAGACCUGUGAAUCAUUAAGGCCUGAAUUUUAUUAGUGUAUGUGCUGAUGAGAGUGUUAAAAUUUGUCAAGCACAGAGAGGACCUUAUCCUGCUGAGCAUUCAAAUUCUUAUUUCUUGAGAUUUACUUUAUAUGAUACAGAAUGUAGUGGAUGUUUGUCUUGCAUCUUAAAAGUAAAAGAAUGUGACAUAAUUGUAAACAUUUUUAAAAAAUGGGAAGGUUCUCUUUUCUUUUUUCCCUA